GGCCAUAUGAUGUACACGGAGCCAAAGCCACAGUCCCCUCACCCUCUCCCGGGCCACUGUGUAACCUGAGUCUCCCACUUGGGAGCCAGAAAUCAGCUGAGAAGAGGCCUCUGGAAACAGGCCGCCCUGGCCCAGGAGGGUGGAUGAAGUAGGGCCUCAGCACAGCUCAUCCCACCGAGCAGGCCGGACCCUGAGUUCCUGGCUUGCACUGAAGGGUCUGGCCUCCUAACCUCACCUUGACUCUGCCAUGCAAAAUUGAUGCCUGGGCGCAGGGCGCCGACGAUGGUCAGAUACCGCGGCCUGAACACCCUGGAACCUACAUCCCUGACUUGGAGGAUCCAGGCCUUGCGGGGCCUUCUCCAUGAGUCCUGCAGGACACACAGGGACCCUAACGGACCUAGUCCAGUCUUAGGGUCUGGGCUGCUCCUCCCUCCAGGAAUGGGAGUUUGCUGUAGGCGAUGGAGGAAGGGUUCAGGAGGCCACUCUGCGUCCCUACCAGGCUGUGGGCCCAACCCCCCACCCACCAUCUUCUUCUCCCACGGCCCCAACCUCGUAGGGAGGGCACGGCGGGGCUCAGGUUCGCAGAGA